rnacentral:lncRNA from 1 species
AUCCUGUCUCGGAGCACUACGGACAAUUCCUUCAACCUCAUGUCUUGGUUUUUGCUCUGUCAACUUAUAUAGUGAAGUGUGUGCCGGGCUGGGUUUAGGCUGGGUUUCUGCUGGGUUUAGGCUGGGUUUCUGCUGGGUUUAGGCUGGGUUUCGACUGGGUUUAGGCUGGGUUUCUGCUGGGUUUAGACUAGGUUUAGGCUGGGUUUAGACUGGGUUUAGACUGGGUUUAGGCUGGGUUUCUUCUGGGUUUCUGCUGGGUUUAGGCUGGGUUUCUGCUGGGUUUAGGCUGGGUUUAGGCUGGGUUUAGGCUGGGUUUCUGCUGGGUUUCUGCUGAUGUUUAGGCUGGGUUUCUGCUGAUGUUUUAGAUGCAGGCUGUUCUGUAGGUCUUGCUGUUGAGCCUGUGCACAUCAUUCUUUUUUUUAUUGUUUAUUUUUUAUAGCAGACAACAAGAACACAAUUCACAUUUUUCGAUUAAAUAACAAUAUUUUGUGGUAUAUUUCACUGAAAUGAGUCACUGA